UACGGAGGGUGCGAGCGUUGUUCGGAUUUACUGGGCGUAAAGCGCACGUAGGCGGGUUGUUAAGUCAGGGGUGAAAUCCUGGAGCUCAACUCCAGAACUGCCUUUGAUACUGGCAACCUAGAGGCUGGAAGAGGUUAGUGGAAUUCCCAGUGUAGAGGUGAAAUUCGUAGAUAUUGGGAAGAACACCAGUGGCGAAGGCGGCUAACUGGUCCAGAUCUGACGCUGAGGUGCGAAAGCGUGGGGAGCAAACAGG
rnacentral:rRNA from 1 species